rnacentral:lncRNA from 1 species
ACACCUAAUGUACCGUAAACCCAUCAAGUACCUAUGUAUGCAUCAGCCAUGUAGAAAUCUCCAUAAGCAAUGCACCAGUGUAUCAGUUAAUAGAUGGUUUCAAAUACCAUAGUCAUUUUUUUGAUAAGUAAAGCAAUUGUAUUAAAAGCACCUAAAGUAUACACGAUGUAUACAAGGCCAAAAAAGGAGGGAUAGACAAAAAACAACGCCCUCGCUUCACUUGCAGCCUAAUCAAUCUAUGAAAUCUAAAAGGAAUAAAGAAGUAAACUCUAUGUGUACCCUAACCCACUCCAAAAACAUGUACAUGAAGGAGCAUAAAAUAGUAUGGUCUGUUAGUUCAGAAUCUUUAAAGGCUCUUUGGUUUCUCUCCUUCCAUAAGGUCCAAAAUAGGCACAAAGGCACAACUUUUCAGGCCUUCUUCUUCUUCUUCCCAACAAAGGCACCCCGCUAACUAAUGAAGGCAUCCUUGAUUGAGAACGACAUCACCCACUAAACAUCAAAUAUAGCCAAAAUAAGGUGCCACAACAUGCUUGCCUUAGGACAAUGAAGGAAAAUAUGGUUUGUUGACUCCUCUUCACCCUUAUAGAAAUAACAUCUAUUUGGAAGACUCCAACCCCUCCUUUUUAGUUAAUCCAAAGUUAGAAUUUUUUCCCAAACUACUUUCCAAGCAAAGGAGAUGACUUUCAUUGACACCCAAGGAUUCCACACCAAGCUUGUGGGGAAACCUUUUGAAUAACAACCUACAAAGGAGGAAUAGAAAGAUUUGACAAAAAAGGUGCCCUCCUUUGACAACCGCCAAACCAUAACAUCCUCUACUCCACUGAUCACAUGCUCUUACAAUCUUCUAAGCAACCCUUCCACCUCACCUAACUCCCAAUCAUUUAUUUGUCUUGUGAACACUGGAUUCCAACAACCAAUCUCCCCAACCUACUCCCACAUUUCAUCUACCUAAGCUUCUUUAUCAAUGGCAAUUGAAAACAAUUCUGGAGAAUUCACAGCUAAAGGUUCCUCCCUACACCACCUAUCUUUCCAAAACCUCACCCUCUUGCCAUCUCCCACCCUAAAGCCAAUCCUAUCAUUAAACCCCUUCCACAUCAAAUCGCCUUCCAAAGACCCACCCCAUAGCCUUUCUUAGAAAUUCUAGAACACCAUUGAUGGGGGAAAGCCUUUUAAAGUUUAUUCAAGGAGGAAGGGGAAGACCUAAGUAAACUUUAAGUAAGAUUAAUAUUAAUUAGAAUUGAAUUAGGAUUAGUAUUUGUUGGAGUCUAAUUAGGAUUACCUAGUUGAGUUAUAAUAUAAUUAGAAUUUGAGUCAUGAUAGGUUAUUAGAGUCUUAGUAGACUUUGGAUAUUAUAAUUAGAAUUACAAUUAUAAUAGGUUAUUAGAGUCCUAGUAGACUUUAGAUUUCUUAGAGAAGCCUAUAUAUAGGCUAAUUAAUGUAAAUCAAAUGGAUGGAUUGAUAUUAAUAAUAUUAUGUUUUCUUUCAUUGCAAGGUUGCAACCCUCAAUGGUGAGACUCCAUUGAUUUUCUUCUAGGUGAGACUCCUAGAAGGCCUUCAUGAGACUCUAAGGCUUUUGAUCUUUUCUUCGUUGUUUUUUUCUUUCUCUCUAUUUCUUAUAUUAUAUUUUUCUCUACCAUAAAAUUUAUUCAUUGUUCCUCUCCUUACACCCUAAAAAUAAAACCCUAGUCCACCUACCCUUGAGAGUAGGCAACCAUCCUAGGGUUGUCCUACAUCAAUUUUGGUAUCAGAGUCAAAGUUCUUGGCUUGAAGGCAUAUGCAAUUAAGGAGCCGAGCAACUUAUGCAAGCAUGAGUUCCAAAAAAACUUUUAGCAAUCAAGAUGCCGCUACAAUACGCUUGGAGGAAAUUUCAGCCACACAACAGUCCCAUCAAGAUGCUAUAAUACAACUAAAUAGCAAACUUGACGAGAUCAUGAAGUUAUUAGAAAAAAGUCAAGAAAAACGACCAAUUGAAGAAGAGAUUGCAAGUCAUCAAUUUAUACAAUCGCCAAGUCGAUCACGCGAAGAACAAAACAAUUUUAUGAUGGGGAAUCAAAGAAGGGCCAAACUUUUUGAGCUAAAUGAUGAUGUGACAAAAAAGGUACAUCUUGAAGUUGCUGAAUUUUAUGGAAAACUAAAUCCAACAGCUUUUCUUGAUUGGAUUAUGUCAAUGGAAGAUUACUUUGAUUGGUAUGCAAUGCCCGAAAAUAGAAAAGUUUGUUUUGUGAAGGCAAAGUUAAAAGGAGCAGCAUGUCUAUGGUAGCAUAAUAUUGAAAAUCAAGUUCAUAGAAUUGGCCAACCACCUAUUGACACCUGGGACGAGAUGAAGUUGAAGAUGAAAGUGCACUUUCUCCCAAUUGAUUAUGAACAACUUAUGUAUACAAAAUUGUUUUUCCUUAAACAAGGUACCAAGUCCGUUGAAGAAUAUACAAAACAAUUCCAUGAAUUGAGCAUUUGAAAUCAAGUACGGGAAAAUGAUGCUCAACUUGCAGCACGCUACAAAGUUGGACUUCGAAUGGAGAUUCAACUUGAGAUGAUAGUUGCACACACUUAUACCGUAGAUGAUGUUUAUCAACUAGCCCUCAAAUUUCGGGUUUCCAAGCAUCCAAGUUCACGAAUUGGGAGCACUUUCUCCAACAGGAAAGCAAGCAAAACUUUAAGCACAUCAAGCUUUAGAACUUCUAAUCACACGAAUGGUGGGGGCAACACUCAACGGACUUCGAAUGUGGCUCACAAGAAUGGUAAUAAGGGUAAAACUUCCAUGAGUAUUAGAGAUAGAAAAGUAAACGUGACUCCUUUAUGCUUUAAGUGUGGUGGGCAUGGUCAUUAUGUUGUUGUGUGCCCAACCAAAGGUUUACACUUUUGUGUUGAAGAACCAGAAUCUGAAUUGGAGAGUUACCCAAAGGAAGAAUAGACCUACAAUAAAGAUGAAGUUAGUGAAAAAUGUGACUACUAUGAUGGUAUGAUGGAAGGACAUAGUCUUAUAGUAUGACCUUUAUUAGUUGUCCCAAAGGUAAAAAGAGAAGAAGAUUAGCGAUGUACUAGCAUUUUCCAGACACGUAUUUCUUACCAAGGGAGAUUAUAUACCAUGAUCAUUGAUGGAGGUAGCAGUUUGAACAUAGCUUUGCAAGAACUUGUUGAGAAGCUAAACCUUAAAACAGAGAGACAUCUAAUCCAUUCAAAGUAGCAUGGGUUAAUGACACCUCUAUCUCGGUAAGUUUUCGUUACUUGGUAACAUUCCUUUUUGGUAAGGACUUUGAAGAGUCUGUAUGGUGUGAGGUCUUACCCAUAAAAGUAAGUCGUAUUUUACUUGGAAGACCUUGGCUUUUUGAUAGAAGAGUUCAACAUAACGGCUAUGAAAACACAUAUGCUCUCAUACACAACGAACGUAAGAAGAUCCUUCGUCCAAUGAAAGAAGUCCCUCCAAUUAAGAAGUCAGAGGAGACACAACCAAAAAAGGUAUUUACUAUGUGUCAAUUUGAAAAGGAGAGCAAGGAAACUAAAGUUAUUUUUGCUUUAAUGGCUUGGGAAGUGGAAGAAUUUAAAGAGCAAGAUAAGGAAUAUCCAAUAAACGUACGUAAAAUCCUUGAUGACUUUUCUAACUUGUGGUCUACAGAGUUACCUAAUCAACUUCCUCCUAUGCGUGACGUACAACAUGCCAUUGAUAUGAUUCCCGGUGCAUCAUUACCAAAUUUACCAGCCUACAGAACGAAUCCAACAGAACAUGUUGAAUUGAAAAGGCAAGUUGAUGAAUUACUUACUAAAGGUUUUAUUCGUGAAAGCCUAAGUCCUUGUGGAGUUCCUGCCCUAUUAACACCAAAUAAGGAUGGGUCAUGACGGAUGUAUGUGGAUAGUCGUGCAAUUAACAAAAUCACAAUCAAGUAUCGAUUUCCAAUUCCAAGACUUGAUGACGUGCUAGAUAUAAUGGUUGGAUCAAUAAUCUUUUCAAAGAUUGAUCUAAGAAGUGGAUAUCAUCAAAUACGUAUUAGACCAGGGGAUGAAUGGAAGACAUCUUUCAAAACUAAGGAGGGAUUGUAUGAGUGGUUAGUCAUGUUGUUUAGACCAACCAAUGCUCCAAGUACCUUCAUACGGGAUAUGAUGCAAGUAUUGAAACCUUUUAUUGGACGGUUUGUUGUUGUUUAUUUUGAUGAUAUUCUAAUCUAUAGUCGAUCUUGUAAAGAUCAUGAGGAAAACUUGAAGCAAGUAAUGCGCACUCUCAGGGCUGAAAAAUUUUACAUUAAUUAAAAAAAUGUACUUUCAUGAGCCCUAGUGUUGUAUUUCUAGGCUUUGUUGUGUCUUCUAAGGGUAUUGAAACAGAUCCAAAGAAGAUCAAAGCUAUUGUUGAUUGGCCAGUACCAACAAAUAUCCAUGAGGUGCGAAGCUUCCAUGGAAUGACUACAUUCUAUCAACGAUUUAUUUGAAAUUUCAGCUCUAUUAUGGCCCCGAUUACUAAAUGCAUGAAACCUAGUUUAUUUAUUUGGACCAAGGCGGCCAACAAGACAUUUAAAGAAAUCAAAUCCAAGAUGGUGAACCCUCCUAUCCUAUGUCUCUACCGAACUUUGAGAAAGCAUUUGAGGUGGCAUGUGAUGCUUCCCAUGUGGGAAUUGGAGCAGUUCUUAGACAAGAGGGACAUCUUGUGGCUUUCUUUAGUGAGAAGCUCAAUGGGGCAAAGAAAAAAAUACUUCACAUAUGAUCUUGAAUUCUAUGCGAUGGUGCAAGCAAUUAGACAUUGGAAACAUUAUCUCAAUUACAAGGAAUUUGUUUUGUAUUCGGAUCAUGAAGCCUUGCAAUAUCUUAAUUCUCAAAAGAAGUUUAACUCUCGACAAGCAAAAUGGAGUAGUUUUCUUCAGCUAUUUACCUUCAAUUUAAAGCAUUGUGCAGGAAUUGAAAAUAAAAUAAUUGAUGCCCUUAGUAGGAAGGCUCUUUUCUUAGUAAACAUGUCAGCCACUACAAUUGGAUUUGAAGAAUUAAAGCAUUGUUAUGACAAUGAUGCUGAUUUUGGAGAUGUUUAUUCCUCUCUUUUGAGUGGUUCAAAAGCAACAUGUAUUGAUUUCCAGAUUUUAGAAGGGUACUUGUUUUAUAAAAAUCGUUUAUGGUUACCAAGGACUUCCCUAUGUGAUCAUGUCAUAUGGGAAUUUCAUGGAGGUGGAAUGGGUGAACAUUUUGGACGAGAUAAGACCAUUUAUUUGGUGGAAGAUCACUUCUUUUGGCCUAGUUUAAAGAAGGAUGUUUGGAAGGUUAUCAAACAAUGUCGAGCAUGUCAAGUAGGAAAAGGUUCAAAGCAAAAUAUAGGGUUAUAUACACCAUUACCAAUUCCAUCCAAACCUUGGGAAGACUUGAGCAUGGAUUUUGUACUUGGAUUACCAAGGACACAAUGGGACUUUGAUUCUAUAUUUGUUGUGGUUGACAAAUUUCCCAAAAUGGCACAUUUUAUCCCAUGUAAGAAGACUUCGAAUGCUUCUCAUGUUGCUGCUACCUUGUUCUUUAAAGAAGUAGUUUGAUUGCAUGGAUUACCACAAUCCAUUGUUUAUGAUCGCAAUGUCAAGUUUAUGAGAUAUUUUUGGAAAACCUUGUGGGCCAAGCUAGGUACUCAAUUAAAAUUUUCAAGUUCUUUUCAUCCUCAAACUGAUGGACAAACAGAAGUUGUCAAUCGCAACCUUGGUAAUCUUUUGAGAUGCAUUGUGAGAGAUCAAUUGAGAAAUUGGGACAAUGUCUUACCACAAGCCGAGUUUGCUUUCAACAGCUCCACUAAUCAUACUACUAGGUACUCACCUUUUGAAGUGGCAUAUGGGCUGAAACCUAAGCAACCUAUUGAUCUUAUAUCAUUACCUACCUAUGUCCGCACCAACCAAGAUGGUGAUGCAUUUGCACGUCAUAUACGAGAUAUACAUGAAAAGGUACAAGAAAAAAUCAAACUCAGCAAUGAGAACUAUAAAGAGGCAGCAAGUGCACAUCGAAGAUAUAUUCAAUUUCAAGAAGGUGAUCUAGUGAUGGUUUGUCUACGUCCAGAAAGAUUUCAUCCGAGCACAUAUCAAAAGCUUCAAGCUAAGAAAACGGGUCCAUUUCGAGUACUAAAGCGGUUGGGUAAGAAUGUUUAUUUGUUAAAGCUCCCUUUAGACUUGCAUAUUAGUCCAAUAUUUAAUGUGGAAGAUAUGUGUAUCUACCAUGGCCAUCACAACGAUGUAAGUGAAGAGUUGGAUCUUCAAUUACCACCUACUCUUAGCCCACGUCCUAAGAUCGAGUAUGUUCUUGAUGAUCAACUUGUGUCUACUCAACAAGGUGGAUACCAAAAGUUUUUGGUGAAAUAGCAAGGCAAACCACACUCUGAAAACACAUGGAUUAUGACAAUGGAUUUUCAGAAGCUUAACCCCGAUCUCAAUGAAUUGUAUCAAUCAUCUAACUCGUCAGAGUUGAGUUCUUUCAAGUUGGGGGGAAUUGAUGGGGGAAAGCCUUUUAAAGUUUAUUCAAGGAAGAAAUGGAAGACCUAAAUAAACUUUAAGUAGGAUUAAUAUUAAAUAGAAUUGAAUUAAGAUUGAUAUUUGUUGGAGUCUAAUUAGGAUUACCUAGUUGAGUUAUAAUUUAGAAUUUGAAUCAUGAUAGGUUAUUAGAGUCCUAGUAGACUUUGGAUGUUAUAAUUAGAAUUAGAAUCAUAAUAGGUUAUUAGAGUCUUAAUAGACUUUGGAUUUCUUAGAGAAACCUAUAAAUAGGCUAAUCAAUGUAAAUCAAAGGGAUGAAUUGAUAUUAAUAAUAUCAUAUUUUCUUUCAUUGCAAGGUUGCAACCUUCAAUGGCGAGACUCCAUUGAUUUUCUUAUAGGUGAGACUCCAUUGAUUUUCUUCUAAGUGAGACUCCUAGAAGGCCUUAGUGAGACUCUAAGGUUUUCGAUCUUUUCUUCGUUGUUUUUUUCUCUCUCUAUUUCUUAUAUUAUAUUUUUCUCUACCAUAAAAUUUAUUCCUUGUUCCUCUCCUUACACCCUAAAAAUAAAACCCUAGCCCACCUACCCUUGAGCAUGGGCAACCAUCCUAGGGUUGUCCUACAUCAACCAUCCCCCCUUUUCCUCAGAUACCAUAGUCAUGAAUUCCACACACUUGCUCACUUUUCUUUAAUAAAUUGCAUUAGGGUGCAUAUAUGAUGCUUUCUUUUAUAAGAGAAUUGCAUCAAAAGUUGCAAAAUCAGAGCAUUCGCAAAGUAUGCAAUAAAGCUCCAAAAGAAAAAGAGAGAGAAACAACUAUAGGAUAGAAAUCAAACGACAGCACAAAACACCUCAUUUAGAAACACAUGGUAUCCCCUAAUCAUCUUGUCAAUAAAAACCAAAAUUGUUCCAUUAGGCUGUGUUAGAAGUUGAUAUCCCCACAAGUGUGUUUCUUUGAGUUUCCACUGAAAUUUGACACCCUCAAAAUUCACAAAACAUCCUCAAUCCACAAAACUUGCAUGGAUUAAAAAAUGGUAUAGAUUUUUUUAUUUAUUUUUCCUUUCCUUCUUUAACAGAAUCACAGUUAAGAAUGAAUUAAAGUUGUUGACCUUCCACCACUUGAAACAUUAUCAUAAUGUUAACUCAUCCAAGCUAAUAGGCAAGGCAUGGUCCAAACUCCAGGCUGAAAGUUUAGACUCACCUAGGAGUCUCAACAACAAUAAGCCUAAAAGUCCUUAUUGCACAGUUUGUAUACAGCAGAGGAAGUUGCACAAAGAAUUCCCAGAUCAAUUUCAUCCUAGCUGUCAAAGUGGAGAGAGAGCAGUGCGCAAAUGAAAAAUGAGAAAGUGAAUGAAAUACUCCACUUAAACAAAAGGAGGCAGUGUGCUACUGUAGUAAGCCACUAGACCAAAGCAUUCUGUUUAUUCUAUAUUAAAGAAGCAUAUAACAUCAGAGUUUAAUGCUCAUCAAAAACUUAAUACCCUAUGCAUGAAAUCAAUUAACUACUCUCAUAUAAACAUAUCGAUGUUGUUGAAUCUAAUUGAAAAUACCAGUUGAUUAACUUCCUAAUUUUUUAG